rnacentral:sRNA from 1 species
AGAAUGUAUCUGAUAGCACAGCACAAAAAGCCUAAAGGAGCAAGUAUUUUAACUUUAGCGGACCUCAUUCACACAAAGAAUGUAUCUGAUAGCACAGCACAAAAAGCCUGAAGGAGCAAGUAUUUUAACUUUAGCGGACCUCAUUCACACAAAGAAUGUAUCUGAUAGCACAGCACAAAAAGCCUGAAGGAGAAAGUAUUUUAACUUUAGCGGACCUCAUUCACACAAAGAAUGUAUCUGAUAGCACAGCACAAAAAGCCUGAAGGAGCAAGUAUUUUCACUUUAGCGGACCUCAUUCACACAAAGAAUGUAUCUGAUAGCACAGCACAAAAAGCCUGAAGGAGCAAGUAUUUUAACUUUAGCGGACCUC